rnacentral:rRNA from 1 species
UGCCAGACUCCUACGGGAGGCAGCAGUGGGGAAUAUUGCACAAUGGGGGAAACCCUGAUGCAGCGACGCCGCGUGAGCGAUGAAGUAUUUCGGUAUGUAAAGCUCUAUCAGCAGGGAAGAAAAUGACGGUACCUGACUAAGAAGCCCCGGCUAACUACGUGCCAGCAGCCGCGGUAAUACGUAGGGGGCAAGCGUUAUCCGGAUUUACUGGGUGUAAAGGGAGCGUAGACGGUUCUGCAAGCCAGAUGUGAAAGCCCGGGGCUCAACCCCGGGACUGCAUUUGGAACUGUAAGGCUAGAGUGCAGGAGGGGCAGGCGGAAUUCCUGGUGUAGCGGUGAAAUGCGUAGAUAUCAGGAGGAACACCGGUGGCGAAGGCGGCCUACUGGGCACUAACUGACGCUGAGGCUCGAAAGCAUGGGUAGCAAACAGGAUUAGAUACCCUCGUA